GGGGAUGACUAAAAUCGAUAGAAUUUUGGUUUAAAGUACUCAAGUCGAGCGUUGGUACGGUUUAGCUCGUAAAUAUCAACCUGCCAUCAAAGAUAAGUGCCAAAUCACUUGUCGCUAAAGUUCGAGGCGCUUUCAGCUCCUUGGCUUUAGCUCCAGCUUUGGCCUAAAACCCAAAGCCAUCAGACCGGACCACGCCUAAUAGCCGGACCCUGGUGCUAUACAUUAGGCUAGACUGCUUAGCUGCCUAACUAAUCAGUUAAAACAACCCAGGCUGGAUCGAACGCGGUUUCGUCAGUUUUAGACGCUUCGAUCAAGAUUAAAAGCUGAAUAGACUUGUAAACCUACUUUAUCUCUUCUUUCUAGACAGGGGUGCGAUUCCCCUCAUCUCCACCA
rnacentral:tmRNA from 1 species